UACGAAGGGGGCUAGCGUUGCUCGGAAUCACUGGGCGUAAAGCGCACGUAGGCGGACUCUUAAGUCGGUGGUGAAAUCCUGGAGCUCAACUCCAGAACUGCCUUUGAUACUGGGGAUCUCGAGUCCGGAAGAGGUGAGUGGAAUUCCGAGUGUAGAGGUGAAAUUCGUAGAUAUUCGGAAGAACACCAGUGGCGAAGGCGGCUCACUGGACCGGUAUUGACGCUGAGGUGCGAAAGCGUGGGGAGCAAACAGG
rnacentral:rRNA from 1 species